UUAACUGAAUUCUACUUGCUUUGUAUCAGUCAUUGCUUGAAUUUUAAAUAUGUUGGCCACUGGUGAAUAUAAACCUUAGAUAAUCUGCUUGUCAACUAUUCUCUUUUCAGAACAUAUUAUCCUGCCUGUAUAUUAUGCUUUCCACACCAUUUAUGGAGACAUACCUAUUGCCAGGAUUUCAUUGCUUGGCAUUUAGAAACAUAGUCUCCACCAGACUAUCAAAGAAGUCAAUGGGGGAAAAGAGGCUAAGUACCCCAGUUCUAGCCAAAAACAGAGGAAACUGAGGUGCUGUGCAAAGCAUGUUCACACCUGUUCUCUCAUGUGAUCUUCACAACAGCACUGCGUGGCACAUGUCGUGAUCACCCCAGUUUACAGGUGAAACACCGUGGCUCAAAGACACACUGGCUCUAGAGGAUGUGGACUCAGACGCUGGACUUCAGGCUGUGAAUAAACCAAGCAUCUCCAGCUCCUAGAGGUAUACCCAGCAGCACGUGCGUGACUCUUAGAACCAGCUGUGCGAGCCAGUGAAGGUCACGAACAUUCCUUGAUCCGAUGUUCCUCAUCCUGUUCCUGGGAUUGUUGUGAGGAUUCAGUUUAUGUACCCAGAUGGCUGGCACACAGUAAGUGUUUACUUAUUAGAUAAUUGUUGAAUUCUCAAUCUUUCCCUAAGCAUCAGGGUUUUUAUGAUGGUUCAUGAUGGUCCAUAUUUUCCACAUUCCCUGUCCUGACUCUCACCUCAGGAAUAAGCUACCUGAUUUGAUAAAACUUAAUCCCUGUUAGAUAGAAUUCUGAUGGUUUUGCGGGGGCCCUGUACUCUGUGGUUUAAAUGAGUAGUGAGUAACUAUGAAUCCAGGUUUGCUCACUUAUGGAUGGGGCUGGUUCCAUCUACUUAUUGGGGAUUUUGAGCAUUUUCACAAAAUUCUUGUGGAUACCUUUGCACAGUUCUUAACAGAUGGGUGAGCCAUACCUAGUGUCCCUUGUUUUUUAGCUGAAUUUAUAAAACUUCCCAGGCAGCACUACAUUGUCUUGGACAGAGAUUUAAUUCCAAUACAGGGAAUAGUGCCAGCUUCUUAAUGAAAUGUCAACAGCUCCUUUUCAGCCUCCUGGAAUGGAGCUGAGCUCCUGCUGGCUGGAGAUAUUGCUGAAUAAUGUGGGCAGGCAGCAGGAUCUGGAGUCCAGGUGUCCCAUUAGUGAAUGGGUCAUAAAGUCAAGAACAUAGUCUUGGAGGCCAGGCUGUCAUAACAGAAUGGACAGGGAUUGUCUCUGUGCUUACUUUAUCUUGACUAUUUGGACUUGCAUAGGGAAAGAGAUGGUCAAAUAGUAAUAGGAUUAACCCCUCAUUUUUUGAUAAGUAUGGUAAACUAUCUCUUCAUCUCCCCAUGCAUGUAUCAAGAGAGAAGCAAUAUUGACAUUAACAUGGUGGCAUAGCCCCUGCCGUAUCUCACACUCAAUUCUCUGACAGCCUUACAGGGGUAUUGUGUAUUGGAGGGAGAAACUGCUUUGGUGGCAAUAAAGAUGAUUAUAUUAAUUAAUAUUAACUGAGCACUCACCGCGUGCCAUGCUAUCUGCUAAGCACUUUACAUACAUUAUUUCCUUUAAUCCUCACCAUAACUAUGAAAUAGGUACUAUUAUUACCUCUUUUACAAAUGAGGAGCUAGAGACUCUGAAAGGGCAGAUGAUUUGCUCAAGGUCACAGAGCUGGAACGAGAUGGAGCCAGGAUUUAAACUCAAGGGCCUGACUCCAGAAUGGGCAUGAUUUACCAUUAAGGGAAACAGUCUAUCAUUUAUGUGUUCCAUUGUGUUUUGUACUCACUGUCUCAUUUGUUUCUCAGGAAGACUCUGCAGAGAUAAACCCAGUUCCCUCCACUAAGCAGUACAAGACCUCCUGCCCCCUCUCUAAAUCUCCAAUAUCAAUAGCAGCCCUCUUCACAGAUGCCCUAGCCUGAGAUUCCUACAAUUAGACAGUACUUGUUUAAGUCACAACGCUUAAACCACAACCCUGCUGUACCCAAUCUGCCCAUAGGAGUUAAUCAAGGGAGCAAGUUCAUUGACCUGGCUUGUAGGACUGGAGCAAACAGGGACCAUGACACAUUGUGCUAAUGAAUGUGCUGGUUUCCAGCAAAGGCAAAUUCCAAAGAGUAAAAGCCUUAUUAAUUCAAACCACAAGGGACCAUAAUACAUGACCUUUCAAAUGCCCAAGCUUGGAUUAUCCGACAUUUGCAUGCAAAGAACAUAAUGUUUCUAAUCAUCUUGGGAAGAUAUUGCACUGAGUCUUCUACAAUUUUGAGUCCAUGCUUAUUAAAAACAACAACAAUAUGUAAACCAAAACCCAAAACUCAAUCAGACAAUCCUUACGGUAAGGACAGAUUAUUGGGGACAUUUUCUUCAGAGUACAAAUGAGAAUUUGUAAAUGGAGCUGAAUAUCCGUUUUCCAGGCUGUGCAGCUGCUCUCUCACUUUCUCCCACCAGUCACUCGGUUCUAGCUGGACACGAGGUCCGUCCUCCCCUGAGUCCAACACAGAGCAUAGCCUGUGAAAAGCAGGAUCUUGGGCAGCCCUGAGAGGCUGUGGCCCAGGUGCAGGAGGUAACACUAAGUACUAGUCGUGACUCCCACAGUCUGCUUGUCAGAAUUAACCAUUACC